UGUUUGAUGUUCUAACGUGGACCCGUGAUCCGGGUUGCGGACAGUGUCUGGUGGGUAGUUUGACUGGGGCGGUCUCCUCCUAAAGAGUAACGGAGGAGCACGAAGGUUGGCUAAUCCUGGUCGGACAUCAGGAGGUUAGUGCAAUGGCAUAAGCCAGCUUGACUGCGAGCGUGACGGCGCGAGCAGGUGCGAAAGCAGGUCAUAGUGAUCCGGUGGUUCUGAAUGGAAGGGCCAUCGCUCAACGGAUAAAAGGUACUCCGGGGAUAACAGGCUGAUACCGCCCAAGAGUUCAUAUCGACGGCGGUGUUUGGCACCUCGAUGUCGGCUCAUCACAUCCUGGGGCUGAAGUAGGUCCCAAGGGUAUGGCUGUUCGCCAUUUAAAGUGGUACGCGAGCUGGGUUUAGAACGUCGUGAGACAGUUCGGUCCCUAUCUGCCGUGGGCGCUGGAGAACUGAGGGGGGCUGCUCCUAGUACGAGAGGACCGGAGUGGACGCAUCACUGGUGUUCGGGUUGUCAUGCCAAUGGCACUGCCCGGUAGCUAAAUGCGGAAGAGAUAAGUGCUGAAAGCAUCUAAGCACGAAACUUGCCCCGAGAUGAGUUCUCCCUGAGACUUA
rnacentral:rRNA from 3 species